GACGAACGCUGGCGGCGUGCCUAAUACAUGCGAGUUGAGCGAUGAAGAUUGGUGCUUGCACCAAUUUGAAGAGCAGCGAACGGGUGAGUAACGCGCGGGGAAUCUGCCUUUGAGCGGGGGACAACAUUUGGAAACGAAUGCUAAUACCGCAUAACAACUUUAAACAUAAGUUUUAAGUUUGAAAGAUGCAAUUGCAUCACUCAAAGAUGAUCCCGCGUUGUAUUAGCUAGUUGGUGAGGUAAAGGCUCACCAAGGCGAUGAUACAUAGCCGACCUGAGAGGGUGAUCGGCCACAUUGGGACUGAGACACGGCCCAAACUCCUACGGGAGGCAGCAGUAGGGAAUCUUCGGCAAUGGACGAAAGUCUGACCGAGCAACGCCGCGUGAGUGAAGAAGGUUUUCGGAUCGUAAAACUCUGUUGGUAGAGAAGAACGUGGGUGAGAGUGGAAAGCUCAUCAAGUGACGGUAACUACCCAGAAAGGGACGGCUAACUACGU
rnacentral:rRNA from 1 species